GAUGAACGCUGGCGGCGUGCCUAAUACAUGCAAGUCGAGCGAACAGACGAGGAGCUUGCUCCUCUGACGUUAGCGGCGGACGGGUGAGUAACACGUGGAUAACCUACCUAUAAGACUGGGAUAACUUCGGGAAACCGGAGCUAAUACCGGAUAAUAUAUUGAACCGCAUGGUUCAAUAGUGAAAGACGGUUUUGCUGUCACUUAUAGAUGGAUCCGCGCCGCAUUAGCUAGUUGGUAAGGUAACGGCUUACCAAGGCAACGAUGCGUAGCCGACCUGAGAGGGUGAUCGGCCACACUGGAACUGAGACACGGUCCAGACUCCUACGGGAGGCAGCAGUAGGGAAUCUUCAGCAAUGGGCGAAAGCCUGACGGAGCAACGCCGCGUGAGUGAGGAAGGUCUUCGGAUCGUAAAACUCUGUUAUUAGGGAAGAACAAAUGUGUAAGUAACGAUGCACGUCUUGACGGUACCUAAUCAGAAAGCCACGGCUAACUACGU
rnacentral:rRNA from 1 species